rnacentral:rRNA from 1 species
UACGUAGGGGGCAAGCGUUGUCCGGAAUCAUUGGGCGUAAAGAGCGCGUAGGCGGCCCAGUAAGUCCGCUCUGAAAGUCAGGGGCUCAACCCCUGGAUGCGGGUGGAUACUGCUGGGCUAGAGUCCGGAAGAGGUGAGUGGAAUUCCUUGUGUAGCGGUGAAAUGCGCAGAUAUCAGGAGGAACACCGAUGGCGAAGGCAGCUCACUGGGACGUACUGGACGCUGAGGCGCGAAAGCGUGGGAGCAAACAGG